GACGAACGCUGGCGGCGUGCCUAAUACAUGCCAGUAGAACGCACAGUUUAUACCGUAGCUUGCUACACCAUAGACUGUGAGUUGCGAACGGGUGAGUAACGCGUAGGUAACCUGCCUGGUAGCGGGGGAUAACUAUUGGAAACGAUAGCUAAUACCGCAUAAUAUUAAUUAUUGCAUGAUAAUUAAUUGAAAGGUGCAAUUGCACCACUACCAGAUGGACCUGCGUUGUAUUAGCUAGUAGGUGAGGUAACGGCUCACCUAGGCGACGAUACAUAGCCGACCUGAGAGGGUGAUCGGCCACACUGGGACUGAGACACAGCCCAGACUCCUACGGGAGGCAGCAGUAGGGAAUCUUCGGCAAUGGACGAAAGUCUGACCGAGCAACGCCGCGUGAGUGAAGAAGGUUUUCGGAUCGUAAAGCUCUGUUGUAAGAGAAGAACGGGUGUGAGAGUGGAAAGUUCACACUGUGACGGUAUCUUACCAGAAAGGGACGGCUAACUACGUG
rnacentral:rRNA from 1 species